rnacentral:lncRNA from 1 species
GCUUGGCAGAGUGCUUUGGGUCAUUGUCUUGCCGCAAAACAAACUUAUGAGCCACAAGUCUGAGUCCAGAUGGAACAGCAUGGUGCUGGAGGAUGGAGUGGUACUGUUCCUUCUUCAUGAUACCCUUUACUUCAAACAAAUCUCCUACUCCAUCACCUGCAAAACAUCCCCAUACCAUGAAACUACCACCUCAAUGCUGAAUUGUGGGUGUAACACAUGGUACUUUCAGACGUUCACCAGUUUGUCUCUGGACAUAGGCUCUGUGUUUUGAACCAAACAGUGCAAACUUGUUUCUAGUCAUCGUAAGUCAAAUUUUUGUGAGCUUUUGCCCACUCAUAUCUCUUUUUCUUAUUCUGUAGACGAAGUAGUGUUUUUUUUUGCAGAUACACAACCCUUCAGACCAGCCUUUCUCAAACGUCAUUUUACGGUUGUCAGAGAUAUGGGUUUCGACCUUGUCAUGUUGAUUUCCUCCCUUAUUUUUGGUGCUGUCUUUUGCCGAUCUCUCUUGCUGGUGACAAUGAUAUGUUUAUCAUUUGCUUUUGUAGUAACUCUCUUUCAUCCAGGUCUUUUUCUAUCAUCAUAACUUCCAGGUUCCUCUAGUCUCUUGAGAGUGUAGUGGACUCCUUUGUUAAACACCUUUAGGUGUUUUGCAAUUUCUCUUUCUGUGUAUCCUUCUUUCCUCAAUGUACAAAUCUUUACUUUUGUUUCUUUACUCAGUUGCUUCUUUCUAGCCAUUUUGCGGUAGAUUGAAUGCAGUUGAGAUUUAUUAGGAUUUUUGUAUGCAGACUCUCAAAAGCCAAAAAGUUGAAGUGAAUAAUCCAACUGUGAUUAGUUUUUUUGCUUUUGCACUGAAGUUGUGACUCUUGCAAAUGUUUUCAACCCUAAAACUAAGCCCUUAUUAUCUUUUGCUGACAUAUAUUUAGCAAUGUUCUGUUAACAUCAAUGUAUAUCUAAAGGUAAAUGGAGUAAAAUGGUGCAUUUCCAUGAAAGCAACAUCUAAUCAUGGAGUAAAUACAUCCCCCAAAAAAUAAAACUCAUGCUGGAUUUAAAAAAAAAGCAUUGUGACAAAAACUUGAAGUUACUUCCAACUGUUCGGCCUGUAAUGGCCUUGCUUCCAAACUUUUGGCCUGUAGUGUACGUACCCAUUUAUUUUUAAAAACAGAUACAUGAACCACCAUGACACAAACUGAGAAUUCGCCCCUGAAAACGAUGCGUGGAGAGUGGAGAUUUUGGAAAACUCUGUUUGCAUGUAAACGGAGAAAAACUUAGAUUUGGGUAGUCGUCGGCAGAUUGUGCGCCGGAAACUGGAUUAAAUGUGACAAUGUUUACAAUCUAUCAUCAUGAUCAUAGAUGUAUGCAGUAUAUCAGUCGCAUUUAUGCUGGUUUAACCCCUUUUAUAUUUGUUUGCAUUUGCAUCUUUUCUAAAAGAAGGAAUCGCUUUUGUUGUUGCAGCUAUGCCGGAUUUUGAUCGACUCACGUGGGCUUGAGCUUCUCUCUACACUGCCACCUACAGGUUUGGCAUGCUCUUGACGGCAUAUACACACGAGUUAGUGUAAACGAAGACUUGAAUGCAGUGGUGUGCAUGCAGUUGUUUUUGUAAACAGAGAGGGUGAAAUGUCAGUUUCUAAAAAUAGCUGGGCACAUAAAAACCCCACCGCAUCCGGAAUGGCGGUAAUUUUAGCUGUCCGCCAAUUAUUACUGAAAGCAUUUGUGAGGCGAAUUUCGUGACGGAUUACGGACAGCUUCAUGGAUUCAUGGUCAGUCGCGCAAUAACAAGUUGUCUCUAUAAAGACAGACACAUAGACAUAUAAGCAGUAGAAUGUGUCCCUCCAGAGGAGGAAGUCUACUUCUAGACUUUUAGAAUCAGCAUCUCCUCAUCCAUGGUGGCACCGGGUUGAAAUGACGUCUAAAAACCUUUCACUUGUUCGUCUCCGCCCGUUUGCAUGGUUUAAAAUACGAUCCUCCUGAGACACGGAGAGUUUUAGUUUGAAAAGAAGCCGAAUGUUUUUUUUGUGUCUGUGCCCAACUGCUUUUCCAGCACGGGUUAACCUGUGCUGAAUUUAUCCGGCAUGCUCUGGCAUCCGGAAAAAAUAGAACUCUUGCGAUCAGCUAUCGAGUCUGGCGAUCCGCAGCGGAACGGAAAGAAGCCGGUGGAAAUCGACACGUUAACUUGAAUGGUUACGAUCAGCUACGAUUGACGGAUACAACCUUCUAGUAGACGUUCAGGAUGUGGUGGAAAUUGGGGUUAACACUGUUUUGGAAAGGACAGCUGGACUUACUUGGGACGUUUCACCUUAGGCAAAACAUCCCAAGUAAGUCUAGCUGUCCUUUUAAUGAAGAAUUUGAAAUCACAGAUGCUGCAUCCUCAGUUUUAGACAAUAUCUCCAGGUUUAGGAGCAACAUCUGCGUCCAUCCAGACAAAGAUUUUUUCAGGGAAGAACUUUAUAUGAUCCCAAACCACAUUCUAACAACAGUUGAAAUAUGGAAUGUAGAACUCUUGUGGUCAGCUGUGGAGUCCGGCAGUCCACAGCGGAACGGAAAGAAGCCGGUGAAAAUUGACAUGUUAACUUGAAUGGUUACGAUCAGCUACGAUCAGAGGAUACAACCAUUUAGUAGCUGUUUAGGAUGCAUUGGAAAUUGGGUGUAAAUGUGGUCUAUGUCUAUGUGCAGGGCGGUAAUUUUGAAAAGAGAGCUUCUCUACUUUAAUUUAGAGAAACAUCCUGCAAAUGCAACAAAGCAGAAAUAUGUUAAAACGUGUGCUAAAGUAAGCCGAUCCAGGAGGCUAGAAUAACGUUCAUAAACCUGCAGCAGAGAUCUCCACAGAGGAACAUGAUGAGCGUGAUUUCAGAGGAAAAAAAGCACAGUUUUCAGAUUUGUCUGUGUUCCUUGUUUCCACGUGUCCUCUAUGUUCGAGGUCUAAAUGUUGCGUGCAGAAUUUCACGCUUUAGUUUCCUGUGACUUUGACAAACCGCCCUGUUGUGUAAGUGUGUGUGUUUGAAGGUAAGCAUGCAUUCACAGCCUUCGAGAGCCUAUUAUCAGCCUUCCCGGUCUCCUUAUGUAAGCAGACUAUAAGUCAAACAAUACCUGUGUAACCUUCAAACACCUACAGCAGCUCUCUGUGCCGGCGCUUGUGUAACCGCGGUAACCGUGGUCGAUGGUGUACCUGUUGUGUUAUAUCUUUCAGCUCAUUGAUGUGGGCGUUAGAAUUUGAGGAAAUGUGAAUGGGCUUCUGUUGUUCCGAGUUUGACAGAGGAGAAACAGUCCUGUCUUUCUCCAAGUCUGUGUGGACUCUGAAGAGCUCAUGUCCUUCACGGUGCCUCUUUGUGUGAGUCUGUUUAUGUGUAACAACGACAGCACAGCCUUAUGUUUGGUAUGCAUGCCUCACUUAUUGUCUGCUCCUCUGGAAGAGAAGGAGGGAAUAAAAGCUCCUGUUGGCAAAGAUCAGUGAGGAGGAGGUUUUUAUUUCCAUCCUCUUUACACCUGUGUGGAGGUUUAUAUCCUUUCAGACCGGUUUGAUGUCACAGCGUGUCCGUGAACAGCCGGACUGACCCUCAGAUCCUGAAUGAGCUGAUUCACACAAACUCAGCCUUGACUCCAGCUAAAAACCUGCUUCACAAAGAUCUGAUGUUCAGCUGUGUGACAUGACAAUAAAACCAAUUCUUCUUUUUAUUGGACCAGCAAAGAGUUUUUGUAUUUGAGGUAAAUCUCCAGGCAGUCAUUUACUCCGAUUACUUUGUUCUGUGCAGUAAAAUGACAGAUAAUUAAAGCACCUCAUGUGGACUGUGAUCUUUUUAAGUCUCCUUACUGAUCUUAUUCUGUAUGUAGAAUAUUUUUAUAGUUGAAAAAGAACCUCUUUGCUCUCAUAUAUUUAACUCCUCCUGACAUGAAGCUGAAACUCUGCUGUGACAUGGAAUGCGAAUGUGCAUGAAGACUGGUGAAACCUCAGUACUCAUGUCCCCUUUAAAGGCAUUCAGGAUGGUAAAUCCACCAGUAGGGGGGGCUGAGUUCUUCUAUAAGUAGUGCUGUUACUAUGAUCGAAGUGUUUGAUUAAAUUAGCUGAGGCUAGGACCGUCAUCACACCUGUGAAAUCUGGUGAACAUCAGACAUAGGCUGUGUCCGAAAUGGCAUACUGCCUACUAUCUACUUACCUACUCAAGCAGUACCUACUGCAUACUGACUACUCAAAGAUGAUUUGAGUAUGCCGCGGCUGCUCGAGCGUUUACGUACAGAUGCAUACUAUAUACCCCAGAAUGCAUUUCGUGACGGCCGGACGCAGCACCGGGAAAAUUUAAAUAGUCCUACCACAAGCUACACAGAACGACUGCAUUCCGGACAAAUUAUAUAAAUUCAUUCAAUAAUAAUAUUUUUUCUAGCAAGAAAGUAAGUGUUUACAUCACGAUUAUGAGCCCAGUUGUUUGAAAUAGUGGCUGUUUGUAAAUUUGUCUCGGUGUUUUCGGAGACCAAAGCGUCCGCUUGGUGGGUGUUUGCGUCUAUUUACCGUAAACACCGGGCAGCAGCAGCUCCCCCUUCAUGUUUUCAAAUUAUUACGAAGUGUUUAUAUAAUCAACAACUACGCGACACAAACCGAGCGGCAGUGGAUAAAAAAAUACCACAGACACCUGUGUAUCCAUGGUGAUAAUGCUAUACACCACCUGCUGGGCGUGUGAUGAGCAGCAGAGGGCUGCAAAAUGACCAACACACAACAUAAUUAUUAUGACCUCGCUCGGUUAUUCCUUGGCAAAUACAUCAUUUCCCGACUACAUUCUUUUCAUGUACAAUGAUAAUUUCAGAAACCAUCAGAUUUUCAACCACAAGUAAGAAUUAGUAAAGCUCAUAUCUACAUUGUCAACUGGAAACUCCCCUGUUUGUAUAUUCUGAACCAUGUGCUCUCUACCAAUAAUAAUUUUUAUUAAUCAGAGGUCUGUACUUCAUAUGAGUGACCACUUUGAUGAUGCAUUCAGAGAUGAGAAGAUGCUCAAACUUGAUGUAAUAAAUACAUCUUUAAUAGACACUUAAAUAAAUAAAGUCAAUUCAUACGAUAGUUAAAAACAUUACCUACAAUCCUAAUUUAAAAUACAAAUAAAUCUGGUAAAAAGAUCAAAAUAUGAUAAAAUGAUAAAAAUUGUGUAAUGUAUACUGACUAAAUAUUGUUUAUCUGUUUAUAUAUAUAUAAUUAUUAUUGCAAUCACAUGCC